UACGAAGGGUGCAAACGUUGCUCGGAAUCAUUGGGCGUAAAGCGCACGUAGGCGGCUUUGCAAGUCGGACGUGAAAUCCCUCAGCUCAACUGAGGACGUGCAUCCGAAACUGCAAGGCUUGAGUACUGAAGAGGAUCGCGGAAUUCCCGGUGUAGAGGUGAAAUUCGUAGAUAUUAGGAAGAACACCAGUGGCGAAGGCGGCUCACUGGCCCGGUACUGACGCUGAGGCGCGAAAGCGUGGGGAGCAAACAGG
rnacentral:rRNA from 1 species